rnacentral:RNase_P_RNA from 1 species
GGGUCGGCUGUGUGGCUUCGCCCUUGCAUCAAAGCAAGGGUGAGGAAGCUCCUCCCAUUGAGGAGGCUUCGAAAAGAAGCCAGCUGAAAAGCUGAGGCUGGCAUCAGAAACGAUACCCUUUAGCAUCGCUAACGAUGAUAGCUUUGCUUGAGUUGAUGCUAAAGGGAUGAAACGGGCCAGCCACUCCGAUGAGAUGCAAGGCUAGAGCCGCUUAGACGAAUGCCACAUUAAACAAAAGGAGGGCUAUAGCCGACCC